rnacentral:rRNA from 1 species
AUUGAACGCUGGCGGCAGGCCUAACACAUGCAAGUCGAGCGAGCGGCGGACGGGUGAGUAAUGUAUUGGUACUGCCCGAUAGAGGGGGAUAACUACUUGAAACGGUUGCUAAUACCGCAUACUAUCGGAUAACCCAUAUGGGAUUAGCUAGUAGGUGGGGUAAAGGAUCACCUAGGCGACGAUCUCUAGAUGGUCUGAGAGGAUGAUCAGCCAAAUGGGGACUGAGACACGGCCCAGACUCGAAGGGUAGCAGCAGUGGGGAAUAUUGAAAAAUGGGCGCAAGCCUGAUACAGCAAUGCGGCGUGAAUGAAGACGGCCUGAGGGUUGUAAAGUACUUUAAGCGGGGAAGCGUUACCCGAAGAAGAAGCACCGGCUAACUCCGUGCCAGAAGACGAGGUAAUUC